AGUCUCACGGAAUUCCGAAUACGGAAAACAAAUUCGCAAAUCGAAUACCAAAAAUGUGCGUUUGCGGCCAGCUUGAUCUGAAGUUUUGAGUUU